UACGUAGGGCGCAAGCGUUGUCCGGAUUUAUUGGGUUUAAAGGGUGCGUAGGUGGCCUUGUAAGUCCGUGGUGAAAGCCUCUCGCUUAACGAGAGAACUGCCAUGGAUACUGCAAGGCUUGAGUCCAGACGAGGUUGGCGGAAUGGAUGGUGUAGCGGUGAAAUGCAUAGAUACCAUCCAGAACCCCGAUUGCGUAGGCAGCUGACUAGGCUGGUACUGACACUGAGGCACGAAAGCGUGGGGAGCGAACAGG
rnacentral:rRNA from 1 species